AUAGCCAAGGUUAAAAAAGAUUAUAUAAGUUCGAGAUACGGUCGAAUGUUUCUACUAACUGCCUCAAACAGUUAACUAUAAUCCCCAUUGGGGCAUAG
rnacentral:ncRNA from 2 species